GAUGAACGCUAGCGGAAGGCUUAAUACAUGCAAGUCGAGCGGUAGUCCCUUUCGGGGGAUGAGAGCGGCGCACGGGUGAGUAACGCGUACAUGACCUGCCUAUCAGAAGGGGAUAGCCCUGGGAAACUGGGAUUAAUACCCUAUGGCAUUGUAUUUUUAAAUGGAUACAAUUAAAGCUGAGGCGCUGAUAGAUGGAUGUGCGUCUGAUUAGCUAGUUGGGGGGGUAAAGGCCCACCAAGGCGACGAUCAGUAGGGGGCGUGAGAGCGUGGUCCCCCACACGGGUACUGAGACACGGACCCGACUCCUACGGGAGGCAGCAGUAAGGAAUAUUGGUCAAUGUCCGCAAGGGUGAACCAGCCAUUCCGCGUGGAGGAUGAAGGCCCUAUGGGUUGUAAACUUCUUUUAGAUGGGAAGAAAAUGCUUUGUUUACAAGGUACUGACGGUACCAUCAGAAUAAGCACCGGCUAACUCCGUGCCAGCAGCCGCCGUAA
rnacentral:rRNA from 1 species